rnacentral:rRNA from 1 species
AGGUUGUGCCCUUGAGGCGUGGCUUCCGGAGCUAACGCGUUAAGUCGACCGCCUGGGGAGUACGGCCGCAAGGUUAAAACUCAAAUGAAUUGACGGGGGCCCGCACAAGCGGUGGAGCAUGUGGUUUAAUUCGAUGCAACGCGAAGAACCUUACCUGGUCUUGACAUCCACGGAAGUUUUCAGAGAUGAGAAUGUGCCUUCGGGAACCGUGAGACAGGUGCUGCAUGGCUGUCGUCAGCUCGUGUUGUGAAAUGUUGGGUUAAGUCCCGCAACGAGCGCAACCCUUAUCCUUUGUUGCCAGCGGUCCGGCCGGGAACUCAAAGGAGACUGCCAGUGAUAAACUGGAGGAAGGUGGGGAUGA